rnacentral:rRNA from 1 species
CCUACGGGAGGCUGCAGUGAGGAAUAUUGGUCAAUGGGCGGGAGCCUGAACCAGCCAAGCCGCGUGAGGGAAGAAGGUACAGCGUAUCGUAACCCUCUUUUGUCAGGGCACAAAGGCGGGGACUAGUCCCCGGAUGAGGGUACCUGAAGAAAAAGCAUCGGCUAACUCCGUGCCAGCAGCCGCGGUAAUACGGAGGAUGCGAGCGUUAUCCGGAUUUAUUGGGUGUAAAGGGCGUGUAGGCGGGGACGCAAGUCAGAUGUGAAAACCACGGGCUCAACCUGUGGCCUGCAUGUGAAACUGUGUGUCUUGAGUACUGGAGAGGCAGACGGAAUUCCUAGUGUAGCGGUGAAAUGCGUAGAUAUUAGGAGGAACACCAGUGGCGAAGGCGGUCUGCUGGACAGCAACUGACGCUGAGGCGCGAAAGCGUGGGGAGCAAACAGGAGUAGAUACCCGUGUAGUC